UACAGAGGGUGCGAGCGUUGUCCGGAAUCACUGGGCGUAAAGGGCGCGUAGGUGGCGACCCAAGUCGAUGGUGAAAGCUCGCCGCUCAACGGCGAGUCGGCCACCGAUACUGGGUUGCUGGAGCACUGUAGAGGCAGAUGGAAUUCCCGGUGUAGUGGUGAAAUGCGUAGAUAUCGGGAGGAACACCAGUGGCGAAGGCGGCAUCCUGGCCCUGUCCUGACGCUCAGGGGCGAAAGCGUGGGGAGCAAACCGG
rnacentral:rRNA from 1 species